UUGCUGCCUUUCGGUGACCACGCAUGACAGUUCACACAGCCAGUGGCCGGUCAGUGGUGGGCACUGGGCUCCCAGAAGGAUGCCAGUCCAGGAACACCCAAUGGGCCCUCAGUGCUCUGGGGAGGUGCUGCGAUGCUGGUGGCCAGGAAGGCAAACAGGAAGGUAGUCAUUUAUUCUGUAAUCCGAAUCAGCAUAAACACACCAUAAAGUCCAAGUGUGUAAUGAAUUACAUCUCAGAUUCACUGAGAAAAGAAGCUUAAGAUAUAACGAGGAAAACCUUCUACGAUGAUAUCUCCAGUGGCCAAUAAUUAGACUGUGGGCUACAUGGACGGCCUUGAAGAUGGAGCAUCUUGUAUCAACCUGGUGAACAUUUUCUUUUACCGGACUCGCGGAGUUCUGUUCCUUUUGUCUCUUUGGCGCUUCUCUGCAGACUUCCCAAGGAGCCACUGGCUUAGUACCCUGCCCACCAGACUCAUGGACUCAUGACAAGAGAGCGCAGCAGGAUCCUGGGAUGCUGGGUGCCCGAGGGAGGGUGACCCACACCCCGGAAGUUAGGCAGCAGCAUGGCACAGCUGUGCCUGAGAGCCCAGAGCCUUAUGCCUGCUUCCUGCUGGCGGCCCUUAACCUCCUCUGGCUAAGAAGGAUGUCCACUCACUAGUGACCAGCCAGUGUGCACCUCUGGGAGGGUGGGAUGUGGGGACUGGAUUCGCCCACAUCAGCAAAUCUUCUCCAGAAAAGAAAGAGCCUCUGUUCCCUCCCCACCCGGAGACCAAGACUGCUGACCUUAUUUCUUCAUCUGUGAAAUAAGAAGCGUCUUACCUACUGUGGAAGGUGGUUGGAAGGAUGAAAUGAGCAAAGGGAUGCAAAGU
rnacentral:lncRNA from 1 species